rnacentral:rRNA from 1 species
AACGCUGGCGGCGUGCUUCAAACAUGCAAGUCGAACGAUUAAAGCUCUCUUCGGAGAGUGCAUAGAGUGGCGCACGGGUGAGUAACACGUAAGUAAUCUACCUUCGAGUGGGGAAUAACAUCGGGAAACCGAUGCUAAUACCGCAUAAUGCAGCGGCAUCGCAAGAUGACAGUUGUUAAAGGAGCAAUUCGCUUGAAGAGGAGCUUGCGGCAGAUUAGCUAGUUGGUAAGGUAAUGGCUUACCAAGGCUACGAUCUGUAACCGGUCUAAGAGGACGGUCGGUCACACUGACACUGAAUAACGGGUCAGACUCCUACGGGAGGCAGCAGUCGGGAAUUUUGGGCAAUGAGCGAAAGCCUGACCCAGCAACGCCGCGUGAAGGAUGAAGUAUUUCGGUAUGUAAACUUCGAAAGAAUAGGAAGAAUAAAUGACGGUACUAUUUAUAAGGUCCGGCUAACUACGUGCCAGCAGCCGCGGUAAUACGUAGGGACCAAGCGUUGUUCGGAUUUACUGGGCGUAAAGGGCGCGUAGGCGGCUUAACAAGUCACUUGUGAAAUCUCCGGGCUUAACUCGGAACGGCCAAGUGAAACUGUCAAGCUAGAGUGCAGAAGGGGCAAUCGGAAUUCUUGGUGUAGCGGUGAAAUGCGUAGAU